UUGCUUCGCUCUGUCACAAGAUAAUUGAUCAAAGGGAUAUUAUAAAAUAACUAGAUACAAAAUAUUUGAGAUAUUUUUUUUUGCAUAAGAAUCACAGCAAUGCUGAAAUAUUCAAUGUUUCAAUUGAAAAAUGUAAUUUUUUUACUCACACUAUUUACCUUUACGAAUGGAUCAAUUACGCUUCAUGGGGAUAUAAGUUAAAAAUGCCAAAGGAAAUAUUAGGAUUUCCAAAAUUGGACCAUAAAUAUUUUAAGCCCUUACAUAAAAUUACAUGCGAAGGUCCAAAAUAUGUAAGGGACCAAUUUAAAUAUGUUACCCUAAAAAUAAUUACAAAGAUAAUUAAAACUAUUUUUCUACUGUUUUAUAGAAAACUUUCAUGCUAAACCACAUCGGCAACACAGCAGAUACCGUGAACGGGCAAAAUUCUUGCUAUGAGCUCGUCGACAAAUUUUUUUAAAGAAAAUUGAUGCUGCUGUGCUCGUGGACGGGAGCAAGCAAGACGGAAACAAAUAAGUGCGCACUACGGGUACACAAGAACGUACUAAACACUUUUUACAAUAUUAUCAAAGAUAUAAAUGCGAGCUUUACUGUCAAAUUAAUGGAGGAAUUCUUCAAGUCUGUCACAAGAAACUCAAGAAAGCGCAGCGAAGCAAAGGGGUUGAGAUGCUCCACCAUUCACCGCAGAUCAAAAAUGCAAGCUGUUUCAGCUGUAAUCAAUGCUAAUGAAGACAGUACACUUACACCGACUGGAACUGAAACUGGCACAGAUGAGGAAAAUGAAUACAUCGUAACAUAAAAACUAAAAAAGUAAGAGAAAUAGGAGAAACCAAAAAUUGAUAAUUUUUCUUUAUCCGAUGUUAAAAUGGUAUAUUGUUUCAAAUAAAUGAUAAAACUACAA